UAGCUAACAAUCAACAUGAACCGUCUGUCAAUUGUUUUGGUUAUUGCAUUUGUCAGUUACUCACUGGGUGCACCGGAAAACAUUGAAUCGCACAGUGCACACAUAAAUCAUGACUUAGAGCACAGCGGUGACCAUGAACUUGAGAAACAGAAUGGAUAUGGAGACGGAAAUGUAAACAAUGAUCCAUCUGCAUAAGAAAAUCCAAUUCAUGAUUUCGGAUGCGGUACUUCCAAACGUGACGCAUAUUGUCGUAAUAAUUAUUGUAAAAAUUAUUGUGAUUCGAGAACUAAAAGAUGUAGGCAGUGUAUACUUAAUUGUCUAUGGAGACAUUAAUGAAUUUGAUAUAGUUAAAUUGUAUUAUGUAACCUAUAACCUAACCUAUAUUUGGGAUUAUUAUGUUAUUAUUAUUAUAUUUAUUAUUUUUGUUAAUUUAUUUGUAUACGAAGAAUGUAAUUAUGUAGUCAAUUAAUUUAAUUUUAUGCAAUU